GGCACCCUGACGGAGCACGCCGCGUGAGGGAGGAAGGCUUAGGGUUGUAAACCUCUUUUCUCUGGGAAGAAGGACUGACGGUACCAGAGGAAUAAGCCUCGGCUAACUCCGUGCCAGCAGCCGCGGUAAGACGGAGGAGGCAAGCGUUAUCCGGAAUUAUUGGGCGUAAAGCGUCCGCAGGCGGUUAUUUAAGUCUGCUGUUAAAGCCCACAGCUCAACUGUGGAUCGGCAGUGGAAACUGAACAACUUGAGAGCGGUGGGGGUAGAGGGAAUUCCCAGUGUAGCGGUGAAAUGCGUAGAGAUUGGGAAGAACACCGGUGGCGAAAGCGCUCUACUGGGUCGCACCUGACCCUCAGGGACGAAAGCUAAGGUAGCG
rnacentral:rRNA from 1 species